CUCAUAUCUAGCUAAAUACAGACAGAAUGGGAACAAACAUACUUAUCUUCCCCUGAACCCUCCUUCCCCAUUUUUGUUAUUGUAAGGCAGCAAAGACUCAAUCCUGAACGCUGUUGAACACUGCUGAAAGAAGCAUGGAGAAAGUGUUUGCCAGCAUUUGUACAGGAAGACAUUCGCACAGUGCCGAGAACUGAGUGCUCAUCAUAGAUGACCUUGGGAAGCCAGCCUCCCUUACUGGCGGCAGAACAGCUGCGCAGAAUUAGAAAGCAUCCAAGAAGAACUAAGGAGGACUUUCUGCUAACAAACAGGAAUUGAAGGCUGAGAAACGGCCGCUGAGAAACAGGAAUUGAAGGAGUGGUGGGAGAGCUAGAAGAAGGACCAAAAGGAGAACGCAGCAUGCCAGAAUGAAGCCACGGAGCAGCUCCUAACAGUUAUGGAGCGCCAAGUGGACACGCUUCAGGCAAUACUAGCUCUUCAAACUGAGCAGCUCUGUGCCCACCCUCCCCUUCAGCUGCUGUCGCAAAACUCUUUCCCACGCGCCCCACACACACCGCCAACGCACUGUUAUCAAACUGCUGGCUCCACUCUCUACUCGCAGCAUUCCACUCCUCCCUCCUCAGAGUUCAGCACUGGGGACUCCCACUUCCCACUGCACUCAACACCCAUCCAUCUGCAGUUUGGCCCUGCUGAAGUACAGCACCCGCUACAUUAUACUCCAAAGGAGGAGGUUGGGUAUGAUCCCUGGACAUACACAAAUCUGUAGCUGAUCUCCUCUUGAGAACUUCCU